rnacentral:rRNA from 1 species
GAUGAACGCUGGCGGCGUGCCUAACACAUGCAAGUCGAGCGAUCUCUUCGGAGAGAGCGGCGGACGGGUGAGUAACGCGUGGGUAACCUGCCCUGUACGCACGGAUAACAUACCGAAAGGUAUACUAAUACGGGAUAACAUACGAAAGUCGCAUGGCUUUUGUAUCAAAGCUCCGGCGGUACAGGAUGGACCCGCGUCUGAUUAGCUAGUUGGUAAGGUAAUGGCUUACCAAGGCAACGAUCAGUAGCCGACCUGAGAGGGUGAUCGGCCACACUGGAACUGAGACACGGUCCAGACUCCUACGGGAGGCAGCAGUGGGGAAUAUUGCACAAUGGGCGAAAGCCUGAUGCAGCAACGCCGCGUGAGCGAUGAAGGCCUUCGGGUCGUAAAGCUCUGUCCUCAAGGAAGAUAAUGACGGUACUUGAGGAGGAAGCCCCGGCUAACUACGUGCCAGCAGCCGCCGCCGUA